rnacentral:rRNA from 1 species
UACGGAGGGUGCAAGCGUUAUCCGGAUUUACUGGGUUUAAAGGGUGCGUAGGUGGGUUGGUAAGUCAGUGGUGAAAUCUCCGAGCUUAACUUGGAAACUGCCAUUGAUACUAUCAGUCUUGAAUAUUGUGGAGGUCAGCGGAAUAUGUCAUGUAGCGGUGAAAUGCUUAGAUAUGACAUAGAACACCAAUUGCGAAGGCAGCUGGCUACUCAUAUAUUGACACUGAGGCACGAAAGCGUGGGGAUCAAACAGG